AGUGAACGCUGGCGGCGUGCUUAACACAUGCAAGUCGAACGAGAACGGAUUAUAGCUUGCUAUAAUUGUCAGCUAAGUGGUGCACGGGUGAGUAAUAUAUAGAUAACCUGCCCUCUAGAAAGGAAUAACAGUUGGAAACGACUGCUAAUGCCCUAUAUGCCUUUAAUACAUAAGUAUGCAAGGGAAACGCUUUAGUGCUAGAGGAUGGGUCUGUAUGGUAUCAGCUUGUUGGUGAGGUAAUGGCUCACCAAGGCUAUGACGCCUAACUGGUUUGAGAGGAUGAUCAGUCACACUGGGACUGAGACACGGUCCAGACUCCUACGGGAGGCAGCAGUGGGGAAUAUUGCACAAUGGACGAAAGUCUGAUGCAGCAACGCCGCGUGGAGGAUGACACAUUUCGGUGCGUAAACUCCUUUUAUAUAGGAAGAUAAUGACGGUACUAUAUGAAUAAGCACCGGCUAACUCCGUGCCAGCCGCCGCGGUAA
rnacentral:rRNA from 1 species